UCCGUAGGUGAACCUGCGGAAGGAUCAUUAAAGAGUAAGGGUGUUCAGCGCCCGACCUCCAACCCUUUGUUGUUAAAACUACCUUGUUGCUUUGGCGGGACCGCUCGGUCUCGAGCCGCUGGGGAUUCGUCCCAGGCGAGCGCCCGCCAGAGUUAAACCAAACUCUUGUUAUUUAACCGGUCGUCUGAGUUAAAAUUUUGAAUAAAUCAAAACUUUCAACAACGGAUCUCGUGGUUCUCGCAUCGAUGAAGAACGCAACGAAAUGCGAUAAGUAAUGUGAAUUGCAGAAUUCAGUGAAUCAUCGAAUCUUUGAACGCACAUUGCGCCCCUUGGUAUUCCGAGGGGCAUGCCUGUUCGAGCGUCAUUACACCACUCAAGCUAUGCUUGGUAUUGGGUGCCGUCCUUAGUUGGGCGCGCCUUAAAGACCUCGGCGAGGCCUCACCGGCUUUAGGCGUAGUAGAAUUUAUUCGAACGUCUGUCAAAGGAGAGGACUUCUGCCGACUGAAACCUUUUAUUUUUCUAGGUUGACCUCGGAUCAGGCAGGGAUACCCGCUGAACUUAAGCAUAUCAAUAAGCGGAGGAAAAGAAACCAACAGGGAUUGCCCUAGUAACG
rnacentral:rRNA from 1 species